CAGUGACAUUGGUGCUGCUGUCUAAUUGGAUAAACAGAUGUGAGGGUAAGGUGUGCCGACGCUCUAUUAUUUCCCACUUCUUUAAGAGUAAGUGGAGCUGGGGAGUGUGUUUAUGGGAGAGUGAAAUGGCGGUGAAAGUGGGUGGAAAACUCUAAAAUAGAUAUGUACCAACAUUAUGUGAACGUUUGUGCGACGGUUUCUGUCAGUGUUUGUGUUUCUCCAGAGUGGGCAUGAGGUGGGUUGGCGUGGCGUUCGUUGUGAUCGAGUUUCUGUCUUCGCCGGCGAUGCAUGAUGGCCAUCUGGAGGGAAGCGCAUUGCCCAUUAAUCACCUCCCUCUGGACGGACUUCAUUAAACAUUCUGCUAAGGAACCGCAUUCAACUGCUGGAGGUGGAACAGGAAUCGAAUUGGUUUCUUGCACAGUACAGGGAUUCAGAAGGUAAAGCUGAAAACUUAUCAGGCAGUACGCUGUAAUUCUUCCAUUCACCACAACAUAGCAGUGUGUCUACAUGAAUGAGAGCCAUGGAGCAAUGAAAUUAACCAUGGUUGCUGGCUGCAUUGUUAAAGAUGGUGCACAGUAAAUUACUGGACUUUUUCUGUUAUGGAGUUUCUAUCUGUUAAUUUUGUACAGUACACGCGCACAGACGCACACAAUCUCUCACUCGCUCUCUUCACAUUGCUCCUUGGAUUAUUAAGGUAGCUUAGAGCUCUUACUAAGACCUCUCUUAUAUAUUGGCUUCCACAAAAGACAGUUGAAUCCCUUUGGACAUUAGAGUAUCUUUCAGUAAUCACACACACACUUUGUCUGCCCCCUCAGGCCUCUGCUGUGCUCAUCUCAAGUGCCGGACAGAGGAGAGCAGUUAGAGAGGCCUGGAGGAAGUAAACACUGUAUAUCAUUUAGGAUGAAUGCCCUGUAUUAUCCCUCGCUCCUCUCCUCUGCUCACACAUUGGCCCACAGGUGGGAGUUACAGUAGCUGGCCCCACUGCUUAUUGCAGUCCAGAUGCCUGGCUGGGGUGUUUACUGUGAGAAUGGGACUGGCUGUGUUCAGAGCCAUCCACUCUGUUUCAGAGGACAAGAGGACUCACAAGGCAUGCCACACGGCGUGAGUUGGCUCGAACCAAAGCAGACACAUGAUAUAGUCAUGAAAGGUGGACAUCUCUGGCUCACUGCCUCAUGUGUUUACAUGUAUUUUGCAUACAAAAAACAAUGUGCCACAUCAUAUCUUCCAGCUUUCAUCUCAUCUGCUGUUGGUAAUGUGUUUGUUUAUUUCUAGACCAUCACUAUGAUAUAUGUCUGGCACCUUGUAUCACUUUAGAGACCCAUAUAGUGAAUUCCCCUCAAACGCCUGCAAGAUAAAUUGACCCCAACCCCCGCAGGUGUGAUUGUUCCCUUGUUCCCCCCAAAUAGCUCAACUAAUGUGUGUGUACAGGAGGCAUGGCGGAUGGGGGAAUUUAAUGCUCAGGGCGGUGUGCUCAAACCUGCCUUAGUGGCCCCCAGGUGAUUACAGUACUGCAAGCCCACCAGGCCCUCCCACCUGGAUAGAUAGAAAUAGG
rnacentral:lncRNA from 1 species